AUUGAACGCUGGCGGCAGGCCUAACACAUGCAAGUCGAGCGGAUGAAGGGAGCUUGCUCCUGGAUUCAGCGGCGGACGGGUGAGUAAUGCCUAGGAAUCUGCCUGGUAGUGGGGGAUAACGUCCGGAAACGGGCGCUAAUACCGCAUACGUCCUGAGGGAGAAAGUGGGGGAUCUUCGGACCUCACGCUAUCAGAUGAGCCUAGGUCGGAUUAGCUAGUUGGUGGGGUAAAGGCCUACCAAGGCGACGAUCCGUAACUGGUCUGAGAGGAUGAUCAGUCACACUGGAACUGAGACACGGUCCAGACUCCUACGGGAGGCAGCAGUGGGGAAUAUUGGACAAUGGGCGAAAGCCUGAUCCAGCCAUGCCGCGUGUGUGAAGAAGGUCUUCGGAUUGUAAAGCACUUUAAGUUGGGAGGAAGGGCAGUAAGUUAAUACCUUGGUGUUUUGACGUUACCAACAGAAUAAGCACCGGCUAACUUCGUG
rnacentral:rRNA from 1 species